UAGUUACUUUACUACACUGAUACUUUACUACACCUCAGAGGUACAUGUUGUACUAUUUACUGUAGUACACCUCAGGGGUACAAGUUGUACCUUCUACUGUACUACGUCCCAGAAGGUGAAAUAAUGGCCGGUACCUGAGUGUAGUGGUUGGUGUUGUCCUACAGGGGGCAGCAGAGGCCUGACUGUCCUCCACACGGUGUGUUUGGUGAGUGGAGCUUCUCGUCCAUCCCAAAGGUGACCGCUGUCCAGUAACUAUCAAGGCCGUCUCUCUGUCCAGCCGCAGGGACACGAGGACUGACCGGAUGAGGGAAUCUGUGUACAUCUGAGCACCGGGACCGAAACCCACAGUCUCUGUACAGCAACCUGACUGCGCCUGGCUGAGUGUUGCACAUGUGUAAAAGCCAUGAAACACUGGAUGGGAAACAUGCUGAUUCUGACUCUCUGGCUCGAGUGUUCAGGAGAAGACACAGUGACCCAGUCCACAGGAGAGGUCAUCGCUACCGAAGGACACACAGUUACUCUUGACUGUACAUUUGAAAUAAGUAGUAGCAUUAAUGCAUAUUUGUUCUGGUACAAACAAGAAGUCAA